UGGGGAAUAUUGGGCAAUGGAGGCAACUCUGACCCAGCAACGCCGCGUGAAUGAUGAAGGUCUUCGGAUUGUAAAGUUCUUUUCUAAGGGAAGAAGAAAGUGACGGUACCUUAGGAAUAAGCCUCGGCUAACUACGUGCCAGCAGCCGCGGUAAUACGUAGGAGGCAAGCGUUAUCCGGAAUGACUGGGCGUAAAGGGUGCGUAGGUGGUUUGACAAGUUAGUAGCGCAACUCCGGAGCUUAACUUCGGAACUACUACUAAAACUGUUGGACUUGAGUGCAGGAGGGGCAAUCGGAAUUCCUA
rnacentral:rRNA from 1 species